CGCAAUGGUAGGCGGGGGCAAGGUACGGCCUAGCCGUGCCGGUUCGAUUUGCCGGUUUUCCACCCCUUGCCCUUUGCUUGCCGCCCAC
rnacentral:antisense_RNA from 1 species